rnacentral:rRNA from 1 species
CGGAUCGCAGGCUGNAACCCGCCUGCGUGAAGUCGGAAUCGCUAGUAAUCGCGGAUCAGCAUGCCGCGGUGAAUACGUUCCCGGGCCUUGUACACACCGCCCGUCACACCAUGAGAGUCGGGAACACCCGAAGCCCGUAGCCUAACAGCAAUGAGGGCGCGGUCGAAGGUGGGUUCGAUAAUUGGGGUGAAGUCGUAACAAGGUAGC